AAGAGGGGAAUUCGGAUCAGACCCAGAACCGUCCUCACGAAUUGGCCGCGUGUAAGGGAUUUUCCAGUUAUCCUAUGAUAACACAUCUACAAGCUCGGUUUUAUGAAGGAAAAACGGAAGGAAGAGAGAAGAGACUAGUGGCCAGUGUAUGGCAAUCAGGGAGAUAAAAGGUUUGUUUCUGCCAGCUUUACCACACAGCAAAGAAUCACCACUGCAGCGAGGUUUGACAGAGGACACCUGAGAUGACCCUCAGACUCCCCUGUAAAUCUCAGCAUGACAGAAGUGUGGUUCUAGUGCUGUUUUCCUCAGUAUGUUGCCAGAGAAAAUAGAUCUAAGAAAUCAGUAAUUUCUAAAUAGCUCCUGCACUUCUGGAUAACACAGGUAACUAACAGCUACAAGACAUAUUUCUUCUUGUCAAAUAGUGAUUAGUGAGAACAUAAAAUCACUGUGUCCAGAAUGGGAUCCUCAGACUUAAUCACAGAAUCAUCACAGAAUGGUUUGGGUUGGAAGGGACCU